AAAUUGAAUAGUCGCUGGUAAAUUCCGAAAGGAACUACGAGAGGAAAGUCCGGGCUCCAUAGAGCAAAGAUGCUAGAUAACGUCUAGUGGGGGCAACCCUAAGGAAAGUGCAACAGAAAAAAACCGCCAUUAUAAGGCAAGGAUGAAAAGGCGAGGUAAGAGCUCACCGCUGUUAUGGUGACAUAACAGGUCAGUGUAAACCCCAUCUGGAGCAACACCUAAGUAGAAGAUUAAGCCUGCUCGGCGCCUUCUUAAUUGCGUGGCUUGAGAUUAUUAGCAAUAAUAAUCCUAGAUAAAUGGCUAUUUUAAAAGACAGAACCCGGCUUACAGAUUUACUCU
rnacentral:RNase_P_RNA from 1 species